rnacentral:rRNA from 1 species
ACUGCUCAGUAACACGUAGUCAACCUGCCCUCGAGUCGAGAAUAAUCUCGGGAAACUGAGGUUAAUGCUCGAUAGAUCAACAUUCCUGGAAUGGGUUUUGGUCCAAACGGUGUAACGGCCUCUCUCUGUUUCCUCUCUACGAUGGGGCUGCGGCCGAUAUCGCUGUGGGUGGGGUAAAGGGCCCCCCCACCACUGUCCGGGGCGGGGUUUUUGAGAAAGGUGCCGGAGAUGGGGACUGUGACAAGGGGGCCGGUGCUCUAGGGGGCACCACGCGCGAAAACUUUUCAAUGUGCGAAAACGCGACAAGGUUAUUCUGAGAGAGUUCUCCUGAGAAAAUCUUUUUUGUCAUCUGUAAAUUCUGGGGAAAAUAGGGAGAGGGCAUCUGGGGUGUCCCCCCCCGCGAAUAUCCCCUCUCCUCGAGUGCUCGGCGUUAUUUGUGCCUCUAACAUCUCCAGACUGCUCUCCAGGGCUCCUGUGAAAUCUCCACGCUCUUACGUUGGGAUGUGCGAAAUAUCCCUGGGCUCUGAGGCGGGAGAGAUGGACAGUACUCUCAGGGUAGAGGUGAAAACUUUUGAUAUCCGGAAAACAACAACUGUCGAAAGCGCUCCACCCCAGAGCGCUCUACAGUGAGAGAUGUGAGCUGUGGGAGAGAACCGGAUAAUAUACCCGGGUAGACCCACCUGUAAACGAUACGAUCUAUGUGACACUACAUCUUCGGGGCAUCUCGAUGUCGCACAGGAACCGUUUAGCUCUCCGCCUGUGGAGUACAGACGCAAGUCUGAGACUUACGAGAAUUGGCGGGCGAGCAC